rnacentral:rRNA from 1 species
AUGCUCAAUCACAUUAUGGUUAGUCCACAAACAGAAAUACCUCCAGAAGUACAAGAAGUACUGAAAGCAAACAGAGCUGCCUUCCAUGAUCCUAAAGUACUCCCUCCCCAUAGAGACUUUGACCAUGAAAUUCACAUGGUGCCUCGUGCAGUUCCUGUAAAUUGUAGACCUUACAGGUACUCACCUCAACAGAAGGAUGAAAUUGAGAGGCAAGUGGCUGAAAUGUUGCAAGCAGGACUCAUAGCAACUAGUUUAAGUCCUUUUGCAGCUCCUGUGUUGUUGGUUAAAAAGAAAGAUGGCACUUGGAGAUUUUGUGUGGAUUACAAAAGACUGGAUGCAAACACUGUCAAGAACAAAUUUCCACUCCCUGUCAUUGAUGAGUUGCUGGAUGAAUUAGGGGGAGCCAAGUGGUUUUCCAAACUGGAUCUCAAAUCAGGAUAUCACCAAAUUCGAAUGGCUGAAGCAGAUGAGUUCAAAACAGCUUUCAAAACACAUAAUGGACAGUAUCAGUUCAGAGUUGUGCCAUUUGGAUUGUCAACUGCCCCAGCCACCUUUCAGUGCUUCAUGAACUUUAUUUUCAAGGGCCCCAACAGAAAGUUUGUACUGAUUUUCAUGGAUGAUAUCUUGGUUUUCAGUGGAACUUUAGAAGAGCACAUCACUCACCUGCAGUCAGUGUUUGACAUAUUGAAAGAGCAUCAGUUGUUUGUCAAGGAGAGUAAAUGCUCUUUUGCUCAGCAGUCCAUGGAAUACCUAGGGCAUAUUAUCUCUGAUAAGGGAGUAAGCACUGACCCUGCAAAAACUGUUGUUAUGCUGGAUUGGCCAACUCCCACAAAUGUCACUGAGUUAAGAGGUUUUCUGGGUCUCACUGGAUACUACAGAAAAUUUGUGCAGAACUAUGGUCUCUUAGCAAAACCUCUCACACUGCUGCUAAAGAAGCAAACAUUUCAGUGGUCUACUGCAGCUGAUACAGCAUUUCAACUGCUCAAGAAAGCCAUGGCCUCCACACCUGUGCUAGCAUUACCUGACUUCAACAAGACAUUCACUAUUGAAAUAGAUGCUUGCAAUACUGGAGUGGGAGCAGUGCUCACUCAGGAAGGUCAUCCCAUAGCUUACUACAGCAAAGCACUGGGAGUGAACAGCCAGAAAGUUUCUAUUUAUGAGAAAGAAUUCUUAGCUAUCAUGAUGGCCAUUGAUAGGUGGAGAUCCUACUUGUCCAGAGCCCCAUUUGUGAUUAAAACAGAUCACCAAAGCUUGUGCCACCUAGGGGAUCAGAAUCUUACAUCUGAUCUGCAGAGGAAAACUAUGACCAAGUUAGUAGGGUUGGAUUUCUCAAUUCAGUAUAAAAGAGGUGUGGAGAAUACAGCUGCUGAUGCACUAUCCAGAGUGGCCCAUUUGUUUGCA